CACAUCACGUUGAAACACCAGUACCUUUACGAUCACCGAAGUUAAACAACGUCGAACUUGGUCAAUACUUAGAUGAGUGACCGCUUGGGAAUACCAGAUGUGGUU